rnacentral:rRNA from 1 species
AGAGUUUGAUCCUGGCUCAGGAUGAACGCUAGCGGCAGGCUUAACACAUGCAAGUCGAGGGGUAUAGUAGCAAUACUAGAGACCGGCGCACGGGUGCGUAACGCGUAUGCAAUCUACCUUUCACAGAGGGAUAGCCCAGAGAAAUUUGGAUUAAUGCCUCAUAGUAUUAUAGUAUGGCAUCAUAUUAUAAUUAAAGUCACAACGGUGAAAGAUGAGCAUGCGUCCCAUUAGCUAGUUGGUAUGGUAACGGCAUACCAAGGCAACGAUGGGUAGGGGUCCUGAGAGGGAGAUCCCCCACACUGGUACUGAGACACGGACCAGACUCCUACGGGAGGCAGCAGUGAGGAAUAUUGGACAAUGGGCGCAAGCCUGAUCCAGCCAUGCCGCGUGCAGGAUGACGGUCCUAUGGAUUGUAAACUGCUUUUGUACAGGAAGAAACACUCCCUCGUGAGGGAGCUUGACGGUACUGUAAGAAUAAGGAUCGGCUAACUCCGUGCCAGCAGCCGCGGUAAUACGGAGGAUCCAAGCGUUAUCCGGAAUCAUUGGGUUUAAAGGGUCCGUAGGCGGGCUAAUAAGUCAGUGGUGAAAUCUCCCGGCUCAACCGGGAAAUGGCCAUUGAUACUGUUAGUCUUGAAUUAUUAGGAAGUAACUAGAAUAUGUAGUGUAGCGGUGAAAUGCUUAGAGAUUACAUGGAAUACCAAUUGCGAAGGCAGGUUACUACUAAUGGAUUGACGCUGAUGGACGAAAGCGUGGGUAGCGAACAGGAUUAGAUACCCUGGUAGUCC